rnacentral:ncRNA from 2 species
AUUAAUAAUCAAGGUCGAGAACCUUAAAAAAUUAA